GCACUUGGCAAGUUCAAGUGUAGUACGUACAAACUUAAACAGCUCAAUAAUGAAUGUUCCAUAAAACGUUAUUGCUUCGAACACAUCAGAUCUUGAACAAUGUCCCCAUCCGGAAACAGUACAAAAGCGAGCCCUUUUGUAACAUUUCUUUCUUAGAAAACAGUACGCAGGAGGCGACGGACAUUGUCAAGGAGGCCACAAACACCAACGUCCCGGGCGCCAUUAAGCAGGCCGAAUGCAGGCAACAUUGAAGGAAGCUGGUGCAAAAACUGGACUAAGGUGGUCACGACCCUCAGUAAUAAGGAAGCAACGAAGAAGAAGAUUACUGUUUGUUGUCAUUGGACAUCAGCAACGUCGCCUAAUGCCGAGAACUCUCCUCGGACCUCGUUUGACGAAGACGUCAGUUCUCCGCGACCACGCAAACCGUAAAGUCUAUGAAACGUUGGAAAGAAUGUGUAAUAACAAUAAAAAAUGGGAGAUUAGAUAAACCGUGAAACUAAUCUAAACUAUGUCUAUAUCCGGCGAAAACCGAAGAAAACACUGGACAAUAGCUGUUAAUUACAUCUAAAUAUAAUGUAAUUACGUGUUCAUGAAUCUUAUAUAAGACUGUUAUUUGACAAGUAAAAUUACCGUUAACUAAAAUUAA